rnacentral:lncRNA from 1 species
CGUUAUUAAUUUGUUUAUCAUUGUUAACUUUACGUUCAGCGGCAAACAUUUCAUCACCAAGAUGCCGGUCAUAAUCAAUCGAUUGACCGUAUUUGUUGCACGUCCAGUGACAACUAUUUCAUCUGUGUGUUCAGUUAAACAAAUACGAAAACAUUUAAUAUAGAUCGGCGGGCAACAAAUAAUAAAUAAAAAAUGUUUACUAGAUGUUUACACAAACCAACAGAUUUGCUGUCCUUUAGUUUCUGCUGGACGUGGCAGUGCUUUAUUAUUUAUACAUCUCACUCAGCCAAACGACAGCCUGUUGUAUGAUUAGUCUUAAACUAGCACAG